UGGGGAAUAUUGCACAAUGGGCGCAAGCCUGAUGCAGCCAUGCCGCGUGUAUGAAGAAGGCCUUCGGGUUGUAAAGUACUUUCAGCGGGGAGGAAGGGAGUAAAGUUAAUACCUUUGCUCAUUGACGUUACCCGCAGAAGAAGCACCGGCUAACUCCGUGCCAGCAGCCGCGGUAAUACGGAGGGUGCAAGCGUUAAUCGGAAUUACUGGGCGUAAAGCGCACGCAGGCGGUUUGUUAAGUCAGAUGUGAAAUCCCCGGGCUCAACCUAGGAACUGCAUCUGAUACUGGCAAGCUUGAGUCUCGUAGAGGGGGGUAGAAUUCCAGGUGUAGCGGUGAAAUGCGUAGAGAUCUGGAGGAAUACCGGUGGCGAAGGCGGCCCCCUGGACGAAGACUGACGCUCAGGUGCGAAAGCGUGGGGAGCAAACAGG
rnacentral:rRNA from 2 species